UACGAAGGGGGCUAGCGUUGCUCGGAAUUAUUGGGCGUAAAGGGCGCGUAGGCGGCUUUUCAAGUGACGGGUGAAAUCCCUCGGCUUAACCGAGGAACUGCCUGUCAGACUGGAAGGCUUGAGACCGGGAGAGGUGAGUGGGAUUCCCAGUGUAGCGGUGAAAUGCGUAGAUAUUGGGAGGAACACCAGUGGCGAAGGCGGCUCACUGGACCGGAACUGACGCUGAGGCGCGAAAGCGUGGGGAGCAAACAGG
rnacentral:rRNA from 1 species